rnacentral:misc_RNA from 1 species
AUGUCAUACUGGUUUGUUGAGCUUUUGGUGGUUCUUUUCUGCAUAGGCGGGGUCGAGGGCUUGCAAACCUGCCUAGUUGCUUUAUUAUCAAGGUGGUUCAAGCAUGCAGGACAGUCAUACAUUAAAAUACCCUUCUUUGGACCUCUUUCAUACCUAACAUUGGCUGUUUCACCAUUCUGCAUAGCAUUUGCUGUUGUUUGGGC